rnacentral:sRNA from 1 species
GCCAGGCAUUGUGGCUCAUGUCUGUAAUCUCAGUGACAUGGGAGGCUGAGGCAGGAGGAUUGAAAGUUUGAGGCCAGGCUCAGCAACUUAGUGAGUCCCUAAACAACAGAGCUAGAACUUGUCUCAA